rnacentral:rRNA from 1 species
GAUGAACGCUGGCGGCGUGCUUAAUACAUGCAAGUCGAACGAAGAGCUUUUGUAGCAAUACGGGAGCUUCUUAAUGGCGAACGGGUGCGUAACGCGUUGGUGACCUGCCCCGAAGUGUGGGAUAACAGUUCGAAAGGACUGCUAAUACCGCAUGUGAUCCUUAGUUUUAAAAUCUGUUGAUUAAAGCAGUAAUGCGCUUCGGGAGGGACCUGCGUCCCAUCAGCUAGUUGGUGAGGUAACGGCCCACCAAGGCUACGACGGGUAGGGGACCUGAGAGGGUGGUCCCCCACACUGGCACUGAAACACGGGCCAGACACCUACGGGUGGCAGCAUUAGGGAAUAUUGGGCAAUGGGCGAAAGCCUGACCCAGAACGCCGCGUGCACGAUGAAUGUCUUCGGAUCGUAAAGUGCUUUUCUGAGAGAUGAGAAAGGACAGUAUCUCAGGAAUAAGUCUCGGCUAACUACCUG